rnacentral:rRNA from 1 species
UACGUAGGGUGCAAGCGUUGUCCGGAUUUAUUGGGUUUAAAGGGUGCGUAGGCGGCCCGGUAAGUCAGUGGUGAAAGCCUCCAGCUCAACUGGAGAACUGCCAUUGAUACUGACGGGCUUGAGUACAGACGAGGUUGGCGGAAUUGAUUGUGUAGCGGUGAAAUGCAUAGAUACAAUCAAGAACUCCGAUUGCGUAGGCAGCUAACUAGGCUGUAACUGACGCUGAGGCACGAAAGCGUGGGGAGCGAACAGG